AUUGAACGCUGGCGGCGUGCCAAACACAUGCAAGUCGAGCGGUAACAGGUGUAGCAAUACAUGCUGACGAGCGGCGAACGGGUGAGUAAUGCUUCGGAAUCUACCUUAUGGUGGGGAAUAACUAGCCGAAAGGUUAGCUAAUACCGCAUACGUCCUACGGGAGAAAGCAGGGGAUCGCAAGACCUUGCGCCAAAAGAUGAGCCGAAGUCGGAUUAGCUAGUUGGUAGGGUAACGGCCUACCAAGGCGACGAUCCGUAGCUGGUCUGAGAGGACGACCAGCCACACUGGGACUGAGACACGGCCCAGACUCCUACGGGAGGCAGCAGUGGGGAAUAUUGGACAAUGGGGGAAACCCUGAUCCAGCGACGCCGCGUGUGUGAAGAAGGCCUGCGGGUUGUAAAGCACUUUUAGUGGGGAUGAAAUGUGCAGGGUUAAUACCUCUGCAUUUUGACCUAACCCACAGAAAAAGCACCGGCUAGCUCUGUGCCAGCCGCCGCGGUAA
rnacentral:rRNA from 1 species